rnacentral:rRNA from 1 species
GAUGAACGCUGGCGGCGUGCCUAAUACAUGCAAGUCGAGCGAACAGACGAGGAGCUUGCUCCUCUGACGUUAGCGGCGGACGGGUGAGUAACACGUGGAUAACCUACCUAUAAGACUGGGAUAACUUCGGGAAACCGGAGCUACUACCGGAUAAUAUAUUGAACCGCAUGGUUCAAUAGUGAAAGACGGUUUUGCUGUCACUUAUAGAUGGGUCCGCGCCGCAUUAGCUAGUUGGUAAGGUAACGGCUUACCAAGGCAACGAUGCGUAGCCGACCUGAGAGGGUGAUCGGCCACACUGGAACUGAGACCCGGUCCAGACUCCUACGGGAGGCAGCAGUAGGGAAUCUUCCGAAAUGGGCGAAAGCCUGACGGAGCAACGCCGCGUGAGUGAUGAAGGUCUUCGGAUCGUAAAACUCUGUUAUUAGGGAAGAACAAAUGUGUAAGUAACUAUGCACGUCUUGACGGUACCUAAUCAGAAAGCCACGGCUAACUACGUG